UACCCGGCGACAAACUUCCGUUCGCCGUUGAAGAGGAACGACGACUUCUCGGGGAUGCGGAAUUGCUCGUGUAGUGACCCGGUGACACACCGGAGUCAUUGUUUUUGUCCUCCGUCGGUUCCUCCUUCUAAAAUUCAGAAAUAUUUCUCCUCUUCAUCCUAUCGUUCGUUUCAUCAAAGUCGUAUAUUGACAAAAAUAUUUCAUCGUCUGAAUUAUUCUCGAAGAUUUCUACUUUUUCAAACGAUUUACUUUCGGUGUAUGCACUCGGUAAAACUUUGGAAUGUGUACCGAUUGUUUGUUCAGAAGAUACGUUGAAGAAAAUCUUUUUUCUAUUGACUUUUUUCUCCAAAGUUUCUUCUUCUUGUCUAAUCGCAGUUUACAGCAUAUAGCAAACUUUGAUACGAUAAUAAUCGACCUUCGGAAUUUAGCUGCCGCUGUGAUUACAACUUGUACCCUGUUUCAAUGGUGAGACCGGCGGGCUGCAAGCUGCGAGUAUGCAGGCGCUUUGGACAGCCCGUCGGCCUGCAUACCUGCAAUUCAAAUGACGAGCCGCUGGUCUCAACGAGGAAUCAAGGUAUAAGCUUUUGUGUAACUAAAAAUUUUUAUUUACGUUACAAACAGAUUUUUCAACCAUAUCGAUCGCUUCGAUAAUGCUGCAGCGUGAGUCAUUUUCAAAGUAAAUAUUUUUCACCAUAUCGUACCGCUCAACUCUCUAGUAACUACUGUUUCUCUUUUGCAUCUAAUGGAAAAAAGAUACGUUAGCAAUACAAAAAAAAAAUGUUCAGAUAAACUUCCAACUGAUCAAAGUAACUGCAUUCCUCGGAUACUCAUCGUUACUGUACCAUACACAUCGACGCGUGAACGUCUCAUUAAAUUCUCAACUAAUUCGAGCAAACAGUUACAAUUUCAUAUCCAGAAAAAUGAAAAUCUAGUCUAAUGUCUGUACGAGAAAUCAGUGUCGAAAUUCGGGGGUGUAAUGGCGGAGCUUGCAAUAUACGGUUCGUACUCGUAUGUGCAUACAUAUAUAUUUCACCGAAGGAUGACGAAUUCUGGUAGAAAUAAUGCAGAAGGCAUCGGAGGCUGGAGUGCGCAGGGUGCGCGCAUGGGGUGCGAUUCUGAGGAGGGUGAGGGCGUCGUAGGGGGUUACUCACCACAAUUCUAUCUGCGAUAUUCCAAGCGGGCGUGGCCGGAGAAUGAAGGGGGAGAUCUCGGGGUUCGCUGUUUAUCUCCUGCCCUGUCGAACCUCCGACUGGAUCACCCGUGCUCCAGUUACCUCGCAUCUUGUAGGAACGAUCAGAAAUUUUUAGAUCAUCUCGGCGUCUUUUGUUCGAAGGACUCAAAAAGAGAAAAAAAAAUGACCCUUGGGGGUGGAGAAGAGAAAGAAAAAAAUAGAGGGGAAAAUGGAAGAAGAGUAAACGUCAAGUUCGAGAGAAAGAAUGUACAACAUUAUUGACAGAUGUUUGGGCCGGCGGUACCAAAAAAUUCAACUGCAAAAAUAUCCUAGGAACUGCAGCAUAACGAAACUCGAGAGGAUCGAAAACAAGCCCAAAAUCCAAAUCUCUGCCCUCUGCUAUGAUGUACUUUUGAUCCAAAAAUUGAGGAGUACAUCCGAUGUCAUACAAAGUUUUCGUCAAGCGACGAUUACGUUCACGAGUCUUCAAAAUUCCUGCAGAAAAAUAUUUGCAUUCUAUCGGUAGGAAAGAAAAGAAAAAUCACCAUAUUUUUUCAUCCCUGUACUUUCGUACAGAGUUAAAAAUUUCCAGCAUUUUUUAAGCCUACAGGAAUCCUCGGUUCUCAGUUCUGGGAUUGGAAAUUAAAAAUAAAAUACUGAACGGGGGCGCCCCAGAAGGUGGAGACAUAGGAAAAAAAAGGAGAAACAGGAACCAGAACGAAAAUAAAAAAUGCCGCCACGUUUUUGGUCUCUGUGUUUAAUUUUGACGCUAUUUAUAGAAAUAGCUUUCGCGCGUAGGACUAAAAGAGAGAUAUUGACAGUUGGGUCCAAUGAUGCCGGAAUAGGGAACAUAGAGAACUGCACGGGGAAUAGUUUCGCCCCCUCUUCUUAUUUUUCUUUUUUUCCAUUUGCCAGAUUCUCCCUUCUCCAUAUUUUUCCCUCUUCUCCAGCUUCCUUCCUCCUUUCCCUCCUGCACCCCCGCCAGCGUAGAAGUACCAUAGAAAUUCAAUAAUGGAGACAGAAUUAUAUUUUCUUUUAUUCCCAUGUUGUAUGUAUGCACCUAUAUUCGUAAGGGAAAAAGGUGUCACUGCUGCGGAGCUCGUUUAAAAGCGAAUUGUAUAAAUCGAUGAUCGUCGUCGAUUUUUAACGGAAAAAAAUGACAAUGAUCAGGAAAAAAAUCGGAAUUCAAACAAGUGAUUAAUCUUUUGUGUCUUUCGUGAAUAAAAUCACGCGGAGCCAUCUGCUAAAAGAGCGUAGAGAGAAGAUACCGAAGCAAAAAAAGCAAAACCAAUAGAGAAAUGUAGUCUAUAAAAAUUUUCAAUCGUCACAUUACAUUUGAACAAUCUUAAUUUUGAUUUUUUGAAAUUGUUUCCAUUUUUCUGGCUUACGUCUUUUCAGCCCCUCGUAUUAUACUUAAUAACUACCUGUACAACAAGUUAGAAGAAGAUGGGAAAAUUGGGGUUGGGAUCAACCUGUUGAGAGGGGUGCAUUUUUUUAUAUCUCGCGUGGUCUAUGUUGGAAGGGGCACAAAAGGGAGCGUUUUUUUCCGUACAACCUUUUUUUUUCCGUUACCUACCCGCGGGGAAAACACUCUUCCCUAUAACACAUGCUAUACAUAGGUAUGCUUAUCCCAUAAGCUUUCAUGCAGGUUCGUCGACGUCAAGUGCAUAAAAAACGUGGAAAAAAAUGAACAAAGAAAUAACUUUAUUAGAGUCUCCGGGAUCGAGUAGCUGUUUUUUUUUUUUUUCGAUGCAUUUUGUAAAUCGAGAUAAAUCUGUGGCCAGUUAAAUUGUUUUUCUCUUUGCUUCUUCAUCUCUCGAUAUUGUGGGGUGAUCUCGAAUGGUAAAAAAAAUUUUGUCGCGUAUAUAACGAGAAUUUUGAAUAAUUGAACGUGAGCGAAAUUCGUUGGAAAAAUCGAAACGAGCUUUCUAUAGUAUUGCAUGGUUCUAUAGAAAUAUCGAGUACAAAAUAUCCGUGUGGAUAUAGUAUAUGAGACUAGGACUAACUGCAUAUUAUGGGGUCCGUUAUACGUCAGCGGCAAAAGAAAUAAUAUAAAGAAUUGAAAAUGGCACACACCAUUACAUUAGGCACGAGCGCCGGGGUCAUCUUGGUCAAAACGCGAUGGGAUCACCUGCGCACCCUGCGACUUCCGCGCCAAGAAAUUCCCCCAUACCUUCCUUUACGCCCCUCGAAGGACCCCUCAAAUCUCAGAUGAUAUAAUGGCUUUCCCCAAAUUCACAGUGACCGAUGAUCCAAGAAUCUAUACGGUCAAAAAAAUCCGUUACGAUCAAGCGGCACGCGCGCGUCACUAUAUAUACCUUUGAUACAUACGUGCGUGUCGUGUGUCACGCACACGCACCUUGCCUAUUUUUUUUUCUUUCUACGAGAUACACGAACAAAACUAAAAAAUAAUCACCAAAAUAUUGUAUCAGGAAAAAUCGAAUUCGAGCCAGUUGAUCCAUUACGUUGAGGUUUUAAAAAUCAAAAUUUCACCCAUAUUUUUCCAUACACCUACGUAAAAUGUGAGGGACGAUUAUAUUCUUCACCUGUGGCUACUAUAAUACACAUAGGGAAAAAAUUGAGGGGUUGUUUUUUCUGUUAUAUAAAAAAAAGAUACAUUCCUAAUACCUCAAGUCCCAUGAGGUGUUAGGUGGAUCGCUAAAAAAAAUCCCCUAAUUCGGAGGGAAAGUUGUAAUAAUACACGGGCCCCUAUGCUUUUUGAUGGCAGGUACGUUUUUUUUCUCGUGUUUUUUUACUUCCGAUAUUAGUUCCAAUCUUUUGUGAUCACAGUCGAUGAAUUUAUCUCAUUCUUUCCAAAUUUUUUUUCCUGUUUUUUGCCUGGAAACCGAGCAUCGCCUUUUUACGUGAUGUUCAAACACAUUCGAUGAUCUACAUGGUAAUUUAGAUGUUCCCUGCAAAGAACUUUUUUAUUUCACCUUUUAAAAGUCGUUAGCAAGAACUGAACCAGGUUCAGGUUGGUAUAUGAGUUUGUAAUGACAGAAAUAACGGGUAAAAAUUUCUGUACACAAUUGCAUUUAUUUUGGGAAAGUAUGUUAGCAGAAACUGGAAAAUUAUAUAUUAUGGACAGAAGUGCGGUAUAGGUAUGUAGCUUUCGAGAAAGUUGAAUUCAAGUUAUUGUGGUUGUUUAUAUUUACCGUUACGAAAUUUAUAUACCAAGGGACAACUAAAGAAGUGUUAGAAACGAAAGAAAUUGCAUGAGAAAACCGGACGAAGAAUAACCCUUCAAUGUACCUUUUUCCUGAUGCUAUAUAGUAUAAACUUUCGUUGGUCAAGUUUUCGACUUAAAUCCCAACACAAUUUUUCUUAAACCUAUAACUCGACCUAUAAGUAAACUGUACUUUCUUAUUACAUGGGACAGUUUUAUGGAAUUAUGACCCAAAGGAUUCAGCUGAGUUUCGAAACCCCCCGGCGACUUACUUUUCUUUUCUACUCUUUUCUUUUCUGAAUUUUCCCCACAUUCUCUCAAUUAUGUAUAUUUUACAGUUUUCUCAGGACGAUCUGGGAAUGCUAGACUGAAAAUUGUGUUCAAUUUUGGAGUAAAGAGUGAAGUAUUUGCAAAAUCAAUUGCAGGUGACUCCUCUAAUGUAUUCGGACUUGAGAAACACAAAUCCAUCGAGUAAAUCAAGUUAGGAAAAAAUCUGAGCAGGAUAUCUUGAUUUUUCCACUUUUCAGAGCGACAAAAUAGCGAUCGCACGAUCAAUCUAAUUGCUACAUUAAUUUGAAACCCAGAUUCGGAUUUCUGUGAUAAAAAUUAUUUAGGAAUACCCAAGAAAACAAUUUUUUUCAGAAAUGUUGAAGUUUUACCCCAAAAUCGAAAAAAAAUUACAAGGGGUAGGUACCCAAUGUAUUCUGAGCUCAGGAACUCAAAUCUGUUGAGUGGAUUGAGCUACGAAUUUUUUCUAUUAAGAUAUCCCAAUUUUUUUUUGAUCUUUGUUGAAUAAACAU